UGGUCCUACGGGAGGCAGCAGUGAGGAAUAUUGGUCAAUGGCCGAGAGGCUGAACCAGCCAAGUCGCGUUAGUUCUGCCGGCCCUACGGGUUGUAAACCUCUUUUGUCGGUGAGCAAGACCCGCCACGAUUGGCGGACCGCGAGUACCCGAAUCCAACGCAUCGGCUAACUCCGUGCCAGCAGCCGCGGUAAUACGGAGGAUUCGCUCGUUAUCCGGAUUUAUUGUGUUUAA
rnacentral:rRNA from 1 species